GUGCUCGCUUCGGCAGCACAUAUACUAAAAUUGGAAUGAUACAGAGAAGAUUAGCAUGGCCCCGGCACAAGGAUAACACACAAAUUUAUGAAGCAUUCCAUAUAUAU
rnacentral:snRNA from 1 species